rnacentral:rRNA from 1 species
AUGGCGCCGCCCAUGGAUCUUAGAACUGUCGCCGUCACGCCCGCGUCAUUCGGAACCUUCACUGACGCCCGCCGUCGCGACCCUGCAUGUGCGUAUCAGCACCACAACAAUGGCGCCGCCCAGAUCUCAGAACUCCCGUCCUCAUGCCCGCGUCAUUCUCCGGAAUCUUCACCGACACCCGCCGUCGCAAUUCUGCAUGUGCGUGUUAGCAGGAGCAUCUCCCGCAUUGGCCUCGACCGCCUCUCGUCGUCUCCCUCUCUUCGAGUCACAGGCCGGCGGCGAGCUCGUAGAGGCAUGGAGGUCAGGCGGCCAUGGCUUCCUGCGAAGGAGGGAGAGAGAGAGAGAGAGGAAGGGAAGGAGAGGAGGGCAAGGUGGCGCGUUAGUCCGACGGCGGCACUCCGGUGGCUGGCCGGCGCGGGGCGGUUCGAGCGCGAGCCCGCGCGUGGAGGCGCUGGGUGCGGUCGGUGGUGGCAGACGCAGCGAAAGGGUGUUUUUUGUAAAAACAAAACGUUUUCUCAGAUUCAUUUAAAAAAGAACUGCGGGUUGAAUAUCCAAAAACAUAAGGGCUUUUCUGCAAAACUGUCACGACGUACCACCAGAAGCACUCCGUGCUUUUUUAUUAUUAUUAUUAUUAUUAUUAUUAUAUAUAAGGAGAAGAUAGAUAGAUUUCCGUCCGUGCGUGCGUGA